rnacentral:tRNA from 1 species
UGAGGUGUAACUCAGUGAUAGAGCACUUAUGUAGCUUGUGGGAAGUCCUGGGUUCAAUUCCCAGCACUACAA